AUGCAGGAAGCUUCUAAGUGCAAGAUUGGGUCGUUGGGACAGCAGCAACAGCAUUGCUCACAUCUGAAAGCCCAAAUGUUGAGAGUAGUUAACACUUCACCACAAUCAGCUCUGACUAGAGAAAGAGAAAAACUAAGUACUUGGUGGCAGCAUCACAAUCCAGGAGCACCCCAGUCGGCACACAAUAGCGAAAGUAGAUCUUGCCCCACUGUUGGCUUUUCUUUGUUAAAAGUACUAUUCUCGGCACUGCAGAUGCAGCAACGAACAAAACAUAAAAAUCUGUAUCCCCAUGGUGUUUACAUACUAAUAACAGAAUUUUCUAAUUAUGGGAAAUAUUCACUGAAUACUUCUAUAUACAGGGCAUUGUUGUCAUUAUAUUAUUUAAAUAUAUUAUCUCAUUGUGUUUUCAAAAUAACUCCAUUGUGUGGAUUCUACUGUCAUCAUCACCAUCAUCGUCAUCAUCACCAUCGUCAUCAUCAUGAAUGACUAAGAUAGAUAGAAAUUUAGAAACACAUCAAG
rnacentral:lncRNA from 1 species